CAGGGGCACCCUUGGACUACCGGGUGUGGACUCCCGCCCAGGCAGCAAGCUCUGAAGACAGGGAGACGGGCAACUCCUUACACACUUCCAAUGUGAAGACACCCCAUGAGUCUAGAUCAGGAGCAGCACAGGCCAUGUGACAAGUCCUCAGGUGGGACCAGGAAUCUCCUCUGCCAUCUUGGCUCUGCCUUUUGCUAACCAGGUAACCUGGACGGGAAGAUGGAAGGAAGAGAGGCGGGUGUUUGUGUGUGGGUAUAUAGUAGAUGCUCAGUAAACACUGGGUCUCCCACUUGGGACCCUUGCACUCUGUCUUCUUUGCUACUCCCUCUUGGAAAGAUGAGCUAGAAAAUGACCACCCCGUUCCAGGACAGGAGGAGGUGAGGAACAGCUAAGUCUGCAGGCACAGGAAAGACCCUCUCCUUGACAAAAGUCCAGUUUGACUUUGCGGGAUUCACAAGGAGGCUGGGAAUCCAGAACAAUGGGUUUAAGGUCACACUCAGCAGGAACUCCAAGAAGUCAGUGUUGUUGACUGGUGGAGGGGACUUCACGGCACAGAGCUCCUGGGCUGGGUGGAGGUGGGGCCGA
rnacentral:lncRNA from 1 species